GAUGAACGCUGGCGGCGUGCCUAAUACAUGCAAGUCGAGCGAACAGACGAGGAGCUUGCUCCUCUGACGUUAGCGGCGGACGGGUGAGUAACACGUGGAUAACCUACCUAUAAGACUGGGAUAACUUCGGGAAACCGGAGCUAAUACCGGAUAAUAUAUUGAACCGCAUGGUUCAAUAGUGAAAGACGGUUUUGCUGUCACUUAUAGAUGGAUCCGCGCCGCAUUAGCUAGUUGGUAAGGUAACGGCUUACCAAGGCAACGAUGCGUAGCCGACCUGAGAGGGUGGUCCGCCAAACUGGAACUGAGACACGGUCCAGACUCCUAAGGGAGGCAGCAGUAGGGAAUCUUCCGGAAUGGGCGAAAGCCUGACGGAGCAACGCCGCGUGGGUGAUGAAGGUCUUCGGAUCCUAAAACUCUGUUAUUAGGGAAGAACAAAUGUGUAAGUAACUAUGCACGUCUUGACGGUACCUAAUCAGAAAGCCACGGCUAACUACGUU
rnacentral:rRNA from 1 species